rnacentral:antisense_RNA from 1 species
CUUGACCGAGCCGAGCCACAGUGGCCGGUCGGUGUCGCGGUCCCGGCCGUAGGUGGCGAUCAGCGCCUGCGCCUC